CCCCUGUACUAUGCCAUAUAAUGUGGUUUCAGAAUGAAGUUUAACUAUUAUAUCGCAGUGUAGAGGUGGCCUGAGACAUUCAAAGUGCCAAAAAGAGAGCCGAUCUUAACCUUGUGAAGAACAUCUUGACUAUAAUACGAGGGUUGAAUGAAAGGUAAUGCCUCCACCUUCGUAACUUCUCAACAGAUGGCAAUAGUGGUAUGUGGCAGGUACUGGCUUGUUCAGUAUACUCUUCUCUACAGUUCCAUUUGGUGGGAAGCCUUAGCAUUGAACGGUUGUGUUGUUAAAGUGUGAAGUAUGGAACCCUACACAGAGGGUCGGUCAAUGCGACUUAAGCAACGUGCAGUCACUGAAUUCUUGACAGCAGAAGGUGUCACUCCAAAGGAGAUUCAUCAGAGAAUGCAAGCUGUUUAUGGGGAUUGUGUUGAUGUGAGUCCUGUGUGUCAUUGGGCGAGUAAGUUUAAAGAUGUUGAAGUGGUAACAUCUGACUUGUGUGACAAACAAAGAGUUGCAUGUCCUGUGACAGCAACCACCGAGUUUCACAAGCAAAAGGUUGACAGGUUGAUUCAAGAGGAUCUUUGUAUCAUGCAGAAAUUUCAAGCAUAAUCGGCAUUUCACAAGAAUGUGUGGGUCACAUUAUUGCUUUGCUUGGCUAUCGGAAGAUCUGUGCACGAUGGGUCCUGUGAGAUGCUGGUUGCGGAAACAGAGUGUCAACUUCUUCCAUGACAGUUUCAGAAAACUUGUUCAUUGUUGGCAGAAAUGUAUCCAAUUAUUUGGUGAUUAUGUGAAAAAGUGAAUAGUGGUAGUUAAAGAGCACAUUCUAAGGAUUAUUUCUGCGUUUGAUUUAUUAAAAUAUUCCCAUUCAAACCCAAGUAACAAAGGUAGAAGCAUUAUUUUUCAUUCAACUCUUGUAGUUAUGUGCCUUGAAGGAUGGUGGAUUCUCCCUAUUUUGACAGCCUUGUUUUGGGAGUUCUUUAGUUUGGGUAUGGUCUGAAUAGCAGGUGGUACCAUUUACCAGAUUUUUAUGUAUUACUUUCAGAAAGCAUGGCUCUGUUUUGACCUGCCUCCAAAUCCCUCUGCUGAGCAGAAUGUCAUCCUCAGCUGGAGGACCGAUCGGGGCUGCUCAGAUGCUUUCCUCUGAUCCGCUUUUGUAUUUAUAUGGCCAGGAAAGCCGCCUGUUUUAUCUCUGCCCUUUAAUAGAAGACAGUGAGUCAUGAGGCCUUGCUCCAACCCUGGUUUGGGCCAGAAGAACGUUCAGUGCAUUGUCUUAUUAGCUCCUGGGUUUUUAAUUAACUAAGGGAACGGAGCUUUCUCUUCCUGCUUAUCGCCCCCUCCCAAAAAAAGCCCUGCUGAUUCACCUUUAAAAUACAUUAUCUGACCAAGAUGUAUUUCUGUAUCCUUUGUGUUCCAGCAUUCUCUGGUUAAGCGAUUUCCCUCCACUUUCCCCUGGUAAAUAUUUGCUUUCCCAAACUUUGGCUCUCCUGUAAAUCAUUUUCUGGCAUGUGAUCCUUGAUCUAAUGUUGUGUUGCACUUUGUGGGUUUGUUCUGGUUAGUUGAACAAUUCGAAGGGGCCCAUCGUAGGCAUGUGACUGACUCCACUAUUUGCCAAAGAUGGUGAAACUGUGUGUCUUUUUUACUUACUGUGUUUCUCCGAAAAUAAGAUAGCGUCUUAUAUUAAUUUUUGCUCCCAAAGAUGCGCUAGGUCUUAUUUUUAGGCGAUGCCUUAUUUUUCAAUGAAGAAAAAUUCACAUUUAUUGUUAAACAAAAAAAUGACAUUUAUUAUAUACUGUUCAGUAGUUGUUAUCACAAACCAGCAUGACCAGACAAACUGUGAAUCCUUUCAAGAAUUUCUUGUUACUACCACUAUUUCCAUGUACAACAAUCUAUAGUACGUACAUUUAUCGAUCCUGCAUGCUCUGGUGUUCUGUUUGGUGGACAUGCUUCCAAACAAAAACUUUGCUAGGUCUUACUUUUGGGGGAGGCCUUAUAUUUAGCAACUCAGCAAAACCUCUACUAGGUCUUAUUUUCAGAGGAUGUCUUAUUUUUGGGGAAACGGUAGGUAAGGGCCCUGCAACCAAAAACCAGGAUGGAAGAUGCCCAGAAGUGACAUCAUAACAAUUUCUGUUUUCAGCCAUUUCUUUCUGUUGUUUUUUCUCUUCAUUUUGAACAUUAGCACACAAAACAACUAUGUUUUGCAGUGGGUUUAUGCAAGAGUGACAAAGCUGAAAAAGCUCCCCUCGGCUUAUACUCGAGUGAGGGUCCUGACCUGCUUCUAUUCAGGUCAACUUAUACUUGAGCAUAUAGGUAUUCAGAGUUGGACAGUCUUAUUAAAGUCUUAUUAUCUUAAAUUGCAGUUUUAUAUAAAUAUUCAAAAACAUUUAACCUACUGAUGCCUCAAAUAAUGCAAUUUUAUUAAUAUCUAUUUUAUUUUUGAAAUUUACCAGUAGCUGCUGCAUUUCCCACCCUCAUCUUAUACUUGAGUCAAUACGUUUUCCCAGUUUUUGUGAUAAAAUUAGGUGCUUUGGCUUAUAUUCAGGUUGGCUUAUACUUGAGUAUAUACGGUAUAUACAAAAUAUACAAACACUACAGCUUCUACUCACAGCAGAAAUUCUCCAAAACACCAUCCAACCCUCAUCAAACUUAGUAUAACUACAACCUAUAUACUACUCCCAUUGCAUUAACCACCACACCCUAAUGACAGUGGCUUAACUUUUUUACAGGUGGUUAGUCCAGAAGUAAUAACUUUGCUAUCACUUAGAAAAUGCCAGGUAAUGUCCAAAUCCUGACAGUUCCCACCCAAAGAAACACCUUCUGUCGAUAAUGAACUGGAGCCAAACACAGAUAGGCAAACUCGUCUUCCUUUAGGCUUGCACCUUUGAUAUUUAGAAAUUUAAGAACCAAUCUUUCCCUUUUCUCUUCCAACUGUGUUGCAUUAGCACCUCUUCUUCAAUAAUUCUUCAGGGUAGCUGUAUUACAUUUCUAACCUGUUCCAGAUGCAGCAUUGCUGAGGCCUUUGAUUUUGGCCCCGAAACCUCCGAGCCUGGGAUGCUUUCGACCUGGCAACUCGUAUUUGUAACCGUCACUAUGCCUUGGAGUGGCAAAUUCCACAGCCUCCGCCUGGCAACAGCUGGCUUUUAACACUAGAUGGGAGACUCCAGUCUGACAGGGAACGAAGGGCCUUGACAUUUGCAGAUGUUUAUCCUCUCUCCCUUCCCAUUCCCUAAGGCAGGCAUGGGCCAACUUCAGCUCUCCCUCCAGGUUUUUGGACUUCAACUCCCACAAUUCCUAACAGCUGGUGAUUUCCACUUCAGUGGGAAGCUUCCCAUCAACAAGAUGAAGCAUCAUAGCAAUGAAGAUGGAAAAUAAGGUAGGGGCAAUAACACACCCGUUUGACACCUGUUUCCACCUUAAAUGGGUCACUUUGGGAGCCCUUGCAGUCCAAGACUGUUGCCAUCAUGUCAUCGUGGAGGAGCCACAGAAUGCUCACAAAUUCAUCAGGGCACCUGAUGUUUUGGAGGAUGGUCCAGAGAGCACUGUGAUUCAUUGUGUCAAAAGCCUUUACAAGGUCAAUGAAUGCCAUGUAUAGAGGAUGGAUUGGUUCACUGCAUUUUUCCUGGCAUUGUUGUGCAGUGAAGAUCAUCUCCACUGUUCCUCUGGAGGAUAUGCCGAUAUGCUAAUGACAGCGUCAUCUGUGCACAUUCAGAAAAGCUACAAGCCACUCUAACCACCUUUGCAGAAGCAUAGGAGAAACUCAGCCUCUCAUUGAACAUCGAGAAAACCAGUCAAUCCCUCUGCAAUGACAUAAAUACAGCUUAAUGGUGUAACAUUAGAAAAUGAUGACCAUUUCCACUCCCUUGGCAGCCACCUCUCCAACAUUUUCGCUUAUCCAACAUUCUGCGAGCCCGUUUAUGUUGGAUAAGUGAGAUUCUACUGUAUAUCUGUUUUUGUGUCUGUUUUAAUCACUGUAUUUUAACUGACUGUGUUUUAAAAUGUUGGAAUCCGCUCUGAGUCCCUUGAGGAGAUAGGGUAGUAUAUAAAGUUUUUACAAUAAUAAUAAUAAUAAUUAUUAUUAUUAUAAAAACUUUAUAUACUACCCUAACUAAUGGUGGCCAUAUGUAAGCCGCCUUGAGUCCCCUUCGGGGUAGAGAAAGGCAAGGUAGAAACUAUACACCCCCACACACAUAUAUAUAGUAUAUUAGUAGUAUAUAUACUAAUACAAGGAUUUUGUAAAUUCCUGUUUGCUAUUUAUUCAACAGUUGUGGGUCCAUGGACCGUAAUAAAAGUUAUCAUACUAAUAUACCCUGAUUCCCUGAAAAUAAGACAUCCCCAGAAAAUAAGACCUAGUAGAGAUUUUGCUGAAUUGCUAAAUAUAAGUCCUCCCCCGAAAGUAAGACCUAGUAAAGUUUUAGUUUGGAAGCAUGCAGGAUCGAUAAAUGUACAUACCAUAGAUUGUUGUACAUGGAAAUAAAGGUAGUAACAAGAAAUAAUAAUAAUACAAUAAUAACUUUAUUCUUGUAUCCCACCGCCAUCUCCCAUAAGGGACUCAGGGUAGCUUACACAGGGACAAGCCCAACAACAACAUACAUUUACAUACGAACAGAAAUGUAAAACAGUAAUUAACAUCUUGGGAAACCUUUACCUUUACCUUUUAAUUUAAAAACAGUAUAGCAAUAAAACAUAAUAUAGAAAUUCUUGAAAGGAUUCACAGUUUGGUUAUGCUGGUUUGUGAUGACAACUACUGUACAGUAGAUAAUAAAUUUUCAUUUUUUAAAAAUUCAA